rnacentral:lncRNA from 1 species
UGGAUGCGUAGUAGUUUCGUACAAUUUAGGUUUGACAUGCGAUCGCGCGUCGACAUCGGACGCUAUGGCACACUCGUGCCUUAUGUGCCACCGAAGCCCCCAAGUGCUCUGGCAUAUACCUUCACAUGUAAGUAAACGAAUGUAUUUCCUUGUUGAGAAUAUCACGCGAGUAGGCAGCUCUUGUGGUGCAUCACAAUCGUUUGAGAAGCGUAACAGUAGAGCAUUUUUCUACAUGUGGAGCGGUGUUUUUAUUUGCAGGUUUCCCUUCAGUAGGAAAUCGCUGGACAGGCGGACCAGCGCACCGGAAUUGUACUGGCCAAGCCACAAGCAACUCAAAGAAUCUGUUUAAUUGUUGCACUUUGAACAAUCAUGCUUCUACAAAGGCCACAGCAGAAAAACAGCCUGAUGCCGAGUAUUUCUGUGCCACGAAGUAAUCAAGAGGCGAGUGCCUAAUGCGGACGAAAUCGAGUGCAUCGAGACUUAGAACGACAGAAAGCUGAGCUAGUUGACAAUGCCUACGCCUAGCCGCAGCAGCUCCCUCAUACAGACUCCGCAAGCCAAGAGGCCGUGGAGGCAAAUGCAGCCAGCACACCUCGAACAGCCACCUUGACUGCGGGUGUGUCACCCUAGUCGCCAAGGAAACAUUUGAGGGAAAGCGACAGGCAAUGUGAAUAGCCACUUCUCUAUGGAAACGAUACUCUUUUUCUCGGAUCACUCCUACGCCUCGCCACGCCAGCACUCUUGUGUACAAAGAUGCCACGGAGGCACGUGCAGGUCAGAGGCAAGAAGCAGUGGCACUGGUGUCGACAUUCACCGAAUUUCUUUUUCUUACACUGAGGCAGCCAGCACACCUCGAACAGCCACCUUGACUGCGGGUGUGUCAGUAGAUUCCUGUUGUACAUAUGCUCAUAAUAAACUUCAGUAAACUUGAACUUGAUAAUAAACUUCAUGGCAAAUGGGACAUUGAUGCAUUGUUUUUUUGAACAUUUAUUGUACACAUACAAUAUAUGUUAUACUUUGCAGUGCUACAGAGCGUACUUUGAAGCUUCCCCCUAUAUUUUGCACCUUUAAUUACGUAUGUGUUGUGUGGCCCUCAAUGCAGUUCAUGUAGCAGCUGCUUUGUCUGUGUAUCGCACAUUGGCUUAAGCUCGUGAUAUCCACAUACUUCUCUCACAUAUACAAAAUAAAGUUCUAUGUAGUCCUCAGUGUUACAACAAAAAAUGAA